rnacentral:rRNA from 1 species
UGAGGAAUAUUGGUCAAUGGGUGCAAGCCUGAACCAGCCAUCCCGCGUGAAGGACGACUGCCCUAUGGGUUGUAAACUUCUUUUGUAUAGGGAUAAACCUACCCUCGUGAGGGUAGCUGAAGGUACUAUACGAAUAAGCACCGGCUAACUCCGUGCCAGCAGCCGCGGUAAUACGGAGGGUGCAAGCGUUAUCCGGAUUUAUUGGGUUUAAAGGGUCAGUAGGCGGACUUAUAAGUCAGUGGUGAAAGCCUGUCGCUUAACGAUAGAACUGCCAUUGAUACUGUAAGUCUUGAGUAUAUUUGAAGUAGCUGGAAUAAGUAGUGUAUCGGUGAAAUGCAUAGAUAUUACAUAGAACACCAAUUGCGAAGGCAGGUUACCAAGAUAUAACUGACGCUGAGGGACGAAAGCGUGGGGAGCGAACA